rnacentral:tRNA from 1 species
GUUAGUACUCAGUGGUAGAGCAUCAGCUUGGCAUUUAGAAAGUUCCAGGUUCAAUUCCUGGAAUCUCCA